UACCAGCACCCCGAGUGGUCGGGACGAUUAUUGGGCCUAAAGCAUCCGUAGCCGGUUUUACAAGUCCUCCGUUAAAUCCAACUGCUUAACAGAUGGGCCGCGGAGGAUACUACAAGACUAGGAGGCAGGAGAGGCAAGCGGCACUCAGUGGGUAGGGGUAAAAUCCGUUGAUCCAUUGAAGACCACCUGCGGCGAAGGCGGGUUGCUGGGCUGACACUGACGCUGAGGCGCGAAAGCUAGGGGAGCGAACGGG
rnacentral:rRNA from 1 species